rnacentral:rRNA from 1 species
GAUGAACGCUGGCGGCGUGCUUAACACAUGCAAGUCGAACGGGAAACCUAUUAUUGAAACUUCGGUCGAUUUAAUUUGUUUCUAGUGGCGGACGGGUAAGUAACGCGUGGGUAACCUGCCCUAUACAGGGGGAUAACAACCAGAAAUGGUUGCUAAUACCGCAUAAGCGCACGGGACCGCAUGGUCCAGUGUGAAAAACUCCGGUGGUAUAGGAUGGACCCGCGUUGGAUUAGCUAGUUGGUGGGGUAACGGCCCACCAAGGCAACGAUCCAUAGCCGGCCUGAGAGGGUGAACGGCCACAUUGGGACUGAGACACGGCCCAGACUCCUACGGGAGGCAGCAGUGGGGAAUAUUGCACAAUGGGGGAAACCCUGAUGCAGCGACGCCGCGUGAAGGAAGAAGUAUCUCGGUAUGUAAACUUCUAUCAGCAGGGAAGAUAGUGACGGUACCUGACUAAGAAGCCCCGGCUAACUACGUGCCAGCCGCCGCAGUAAGAC